rnacentral:rRNA from 1 species
UGGGGAAUAUUGCACAAUGGGCGAAAGCCUGAUGCAGCGACGCCGCGUGAGGGAUGACGGCCUUCGGGUUGUAAACCUCUUUCAGCAGGGACGAAGCGCAAGUGACGGUACCUGCAGAAGAAGCACCGGCUAACUACGUGCCAGCAGCCGCGGUAAUACGUAGGGUGCAAGCGUGGUCCGGAAUUACUGGGCGUAAAGAGUUCGGAGGCGGUUUGUCGCGUCGUUUGUGAAAACCAGCAGCUCAACUGCUGGCUUGCAGGCGAUACGGGCAGACUUGAGUACUGCAGGGGAGGCGGGAAUUCCUGGUGUAGCGGAGAAAUGCGCAGAUAUCAGGAGGAACACCGGUGGCGAAGGCGGGUCUCUGGGCAGUAACUGACGCCGAGGAACGAAAGCGUGGGUAGCGAACAGG